rnacentral:rRNA from 1 species
GAACUGUGCAAACGUUAUUCGGAAUCACUGGGCUUAAAGGGUGCGUAGGCGGGUUGGUAGGUCAGAUGUGAAAGCCCACGGCUCAACCGUGGAAUUGCGUUUGAAACCACUAGUCUUGAGGGGAUCAGAGGAGAGCGGAACUGAUGGUGGAGCGGUGAAAUGCGUUGAUAUUAUCAGGAACACCGGUGGCGAAAGCGGCUCUCUGGGAUCUUUCUGACGCUGAGGCACGAAAGCUAGGGGAGCGAACGGGAUUAGAUACCCCGGUAGUCCUAGCUGUAAACGAUCUGUACUAGUCCGUGGGGACUCCCACAUCUUCUCGGACGUAGCGAAAGUGUUAAGUACAGCGCCUGGGGAGUAUGGUCGCAAGGCUGAAACUCAAAGGAAUUGACGGGGGCUCACACAAGCGGUGGAGGAUGUGGCUUAAUUCGAGGCUACGCGAAGAACCUUACCUAGGCUUAACAUGUUUGAGAACGCCUGUGAAAGCAGGAAGUGCCCUUCGGGGAGCUCUUACGUAGGUGCUGCAUGGCUGUCGUCAGCUCGUGUCGUGAGAUGUCGGGUUAAGUCCCUUAACGAGCGAAACCCUUGUCUUCAGUUGCCAGCGAGUAAUGUCGGGGACUCUGGAGAGACUGCCGGUGUUAAACCGGAGGAAGGUGGGGAUGACGUCAAGUCCUCAUGGCCUUUAUGCCUAGGGCUGCACACGUCCUACAAUGCAACGUACAAAGCGACGCGAAAUCGCGAGAUCAAGCAAACCGCACAAAUCGUUGCUCAGUUCGGAUUGCAGGCUGAAAUUCGCCUGCAUGAAGCCGGAAUCGCUAGUAAUCGUAGGUCAGCAUACUACGGUGAAUGUGUUCCUGAGCCUU